rnacentral:rRNA from 1 species
AUACGGAGGGGGCUAGCGUUGUUCGGAAUUACUGGGCGUAAAGCGCGCGUAGGCGGACCAGUCAGUCAGGGGUGAAAUCCCGGGGCUCAACCCCGGAACUGCCUUUGAUACUGCUGGUCUUGAGUUCGAGAGAGGUGAGUGGAAUUCCGAGUGUAGAGGUGAAAUUCGUAGAUAUUCGGAGGAACACCAGUGGCGAAGGCGGCUCACUGGCUCGAUACUGACGCUGAGGUGCGAAAGCGUGGGGAGCAAACAGGAUUAGAUACCCUUGUAGUCC